rnacentral:rRNA from 1 species
ACGGAGGAUCCAAGCGUUAUCCGGAUUUAUUGGGUUUAAAGGGUGCGUAGGCGGACUGUCAAGUCAGCGGUGAAAGUUCCCGGCUUAACCGGGGAAUUGCCAUUGAAACUGGUAGUCUUGAGUGUAGAUGAGGUAGGCGGAAUUCGUAGUGUAGCGGUGAAAUGCUUAGAUAUUACGAAGAACACCAAUUGCGUAGGCAGCUUACCAAGCUACAACUGACGCUGAGGCACGAAGGUGCGGGGAUCAAACAG